CUAAAUGCCAAAUUCGUUUUGCUUGGCUCAACUCUGCUCUCUACUGGCGAAUAAUUGGUAUUUCGACGUUUUAAGGUGGACCGGAAAAUCGGAAUAAGACACUGGCUAAUAAGACGCUCACUUCAACUUCGUUGUCUCUUAAAGUCUUCACGCUGUGUUAGCAGUGCAUGUACUAACUGACUAGCUUUAGCUUAGCGAUUAGCACUAGCUAGCAAAAAGCAUUAACUAUCGCUUUAGUGCAUUCAUACACGUGGAUAAACAUUUUCAGAACUCCCACUGGUUAUUUAUUUCCCUAAUUUCUCUUGUAAAACAUUUAAACCUAAACACAGCAUAGUAUCGGAUGUUAGGUAAACUAGCUUAGCUUAACAUAGAUAGCUAGAAAACUGACACUUGGUGCUAAAUCUGGAUAUCUAUAAAGAGAUUCCGACUGUGGAAGAAUCGUUAUGUCAGUGAAUCAUAUGUAAAGAUUAAAAUAUCCUGUGGGGUGAAUUCGGCAAACCUAAAUGAGUUUCUCUGUUUAUUUAUAGUUAUUUAUAGUUUACAUUUGUAUCUGGUAAUAUAAAAUUGACUGUAUUUUUAUGAAUAUAUAUAUAUGUGUGUGUGUGUGUGUGUGUCCAGAAGAUUUUUUUUUAUACUAUGCUGAUUUAGCUAGCCUGGUGAAUCAGCAUGGAUUAUCAGCUUUUUGAUUUCCGUGACCAUCUAAAACCAAUUACCAGGAAGUGAUGGUCUUUAGCUGGGUUUUCUGAAAGCAUAAUGCAGAUUUAUUUGUGUAAAUAACCUCAUUUGGGCACGUCAUUGACUAAUAAACUGACAGUAGAAAAUUAAUGUGAACACUAGGUGGCAGUGUUAUACCGUGUUUUCAGCUUGGCUAAUUAUUAAAAGCUUUGCACAAGUGGUGUUUUCACAGGUUACAGUUUGUAUAGGGUUUCAUACAUGGUGUUCAGAUAUCAUAUGAUGAGUUAUUGAUUAAAUAUUUAAUUAAUGCUAGUUGGUUGUAUGUUAAAAUAUAUUAUAAUAUUCAAAUUGUCUAGGCCUAUUAAUAAGCAACAUAGUUGUUUACUUUAUUAUGUUUAUUUGGCAUGUGUAGUUUGUGUUUUAGUUUGGAGCUGUGGGGCUAACUAAUUCACAUUAAAUUAUCAGUAAUUCUUUUUAUAAGAAGAAAACUUGAACCCAAGUCAACUAGGUGUGAGUGAGGACAUUUCAUUGGAAUUAACAAUUAUAUUUGUGUAUACAAGUGUUGAAAAUGGUUGAAUUUAAACAGAAAUUGGUAUAUUUUAAUACAUAUUAAAUCAUUAAUAAAAAUGUUACAGUAAGAAUGGAAACACACGGUCUUGAAAUGUACCUUUUAAGUAAUAUAAGAAGCAUUGUAGGGAAAUACUUCAUUAAACAUUGUCUGAUGUGUAUUGCAACUUUUACAAACUGUGUACUGUUAUCAAAAUGUGUAGGUUUCCAAUCUUGUCACUAACUCCAUUCUCUUUGUGUUUUCGGAAACUCCCUACUGGUGAAAAGGAGUAUUGCAGAGGAAACAGUUGUCGAAGAUGCCGCCCAGCAAAGCAUCCCGGAGGUCAGCUGCUGCGAAGAAGAGGAUGGCAGACAGGGCUGUGGCUAAGACUGACGGGGUUACUUCUUCAUCCCCUGACAAAAAAGAUCUGACUCUGUUCCUGCAAGCCACAGCCCACCUGUGGGCCAAGCAGCAGCUGACACUUCUUUACCUCUGACUGACGGGGUUACGUCUUCAUCCCCUGACAAAAAAGACCUGACUGACGGGGUUACGCUUUUUCCCCAUUAUGAAAAACGCUCUAACACUGACCCAAAAGCCAAUCUCUCAAGCCAUGUCACAAGCAAUGUCACAAGCAAUGUCUCAAGCAAUGUCACAAGCAAUGUCACAAGCCAUGUCUCAGUCAACCUCUCUGCAGCUCUCUCUACCAAUCUCUCUGCCACUCAAAAUUGUAUGUCUUCACAUGUUUGUGCUGUUUAUCCUCAGGUCCAGAGACUGACUGGUUCUUUUCAUCAAGCACACUCACGGUUUGGCAUUAACAGUAAUAAACAGUGUGUUGCUAACAGUGUAACUGCAGUUAUGACUAGUAGAAUAAAGAAUGUGCUGACAUGGACAACACAAGACCUGGAUGCAGUCCUGCUUGAUGGAGACCAGUUCUACACUCACAUUAGAGAUGCUGGCAGGAUUCAUGAUGCUUCAGGAUACCUCUUUGUACAAGAUUUGCCUACAGAAUAUGCACUACAUGGUCAUAGGUUUGAACUGAAUUUCAGUGAUGAAAUGUUUACAGGACUGUUUGGUGUUACUGAAUAUGGAGAUAUGCAGAAUGUGUACAUGUCACAUGAUGAAGCCAUUGUAAGAGUGCUAUCUCAGUUUGAUGCUUGUCUGUUUACUGUGAAAGUCAAUACAUGUGCUAUCAUCAAACAGG